rnacentral:lncRNA from 1 species
AGUAACCAGAGAAAGGGGAGGGGAGGGCAAAGGGAGAAGAGCAGGAACACCCCACAUCGUCACUGCUGCCAGCGGUCCUGAGAAGGAAGGAGCCAUGAUUGCUGGACUGGGAAAUAGAAGUUCCGGCAUUUUAUUUCCAAGCAAGUUUUCUCAUGGACAUUAUUCAAGAUCCUUUCCAUUCUGAAGAGUAUCAGAGACUGGGGUGGUAAAAGUAGGGUGUUCCUUGAUGUUUUUUUUUUCCAAGAUGGAUAGUUCUAUCUCUGAAGUAAGAUGGAUCUCUGAAGGUAACCAGUUCCUCUAGGAAUUAAUCUCUGGGUGUUCUACACUAG